UACGUAGGGUGCAAGCGUUGUUCGGAAUUACUGGGCGUAAAGGGCGCGUAGGCGGGCCCGUAUGUCGAUUGUGAAAGCCCUGGGCUCAACCCGGGAAUGGCAGUCGAAACUGCGGGUCUUGAGUGCCUGAGAGGAUGGCGGAAUUCCCGGUGUAGAAGUGAAAUUCGUAGAUAUCGGGAAGAACACCUGAGGCGAAGGCGGCUGUCUGGCGGUGCACUGACGCUGAGGCGCGAAAGCGUGGGUAGCAAACAGG
rnacentral:rRNA from 1 species